rnacentral:lncRNA from 9 species
CUACAUAUUACCUGUCCUAUGUGAGAAACGCAUCUUUGUGAACUUUUGCUUCAUCUUUUAGGUAAAUGAUUAGAACAUGCUUUGCUUCUCCUGUCUUGCAGGGAGACUGAAUGUGACCCUGACUGUGAAAUCUGUGUUCCUGAUAGAAUUAUAUAGAUACAAUCUUCUACUAAUAGCAGCACUUUGGCUUAGUGGUGGCUGGAUCUGUAUUAAUAUUUUGGGUCUUAAUUGGUGACUGGAUCGACAGGAAACCAAAAAAGAAAGAAUGCCUCUGUCACCACCUGCUGUCCUGAUGCUUGUGUCCUCCUGCAGAAGGGAGCUGGAACAGUUCUGGCACUGCUGGCUCACCGUGUCUUCCAUCCACCCUGUGUGCCGUGAGAGUAAACGUCAGAGGCAAGACGCGAAUGCCCUUCAGUGGUCUGCUAUGCAGUCGUGAUCACUCUGGUGGCCUUGGCGAACCUGGCCAGCACGGCACUGACCAUUACCAUUCGGAGAGACUGGGUUGUGAGCCAGGUGACAGCAGAGGCCAGCUGGCUGGUGAGCUGUGCCACCCCAAGACACAACAGAGCAUCACAGCUUCUCUAAUCUGCUGAGAAGUGAAAUGAACUCUUAGGAAACCACUGAUGGAUUCAUCAAGAAGCCCU